rnacentral:rRNA from 1 species
AGCAGCCGCGGUAAUUCCAGCUCCGAUAGCGUAUAUUAAAGUUGUUGCAGUUAAAAAGCUCGUAGUUGAAUUUCGGGAUCAAUAUAUCGGUCGUGCCAUUGGUACGUACUGGUAUCAUUGGUUUCUCCUUUCUGACGAACCAUGAUGUCAUUAAUUUGGUGUUAUGGGAAGUUAGGACUGUUACUUUGAAAAAAUUAGAGUGUUUAAAGCAGGCUUUAGCUUGAAUACAUUAGCAUGGAAUAAUGAAAUAGGACGUUCGAACCUAUUUUGUUGGUUUCUAGGAUCAACGUAAUGAUUAAUAGGGAUAGUUGGGGGCAUUAGUAUUCAAUUGUCAGAGGUGAAAUUCUUGGAUUUAUUGAAGACUAACUACUGCGAAAGCAUUUGCCAAGGAUGUUUUCAUUAAUCAAGAACGAAAGUUAGGGGAUCGAAGACGAUCAGAUACCGUCGUAGUCUUAACCAUAAACUAUGCCGACUAGGGAUCGGAUGAUGUUAAUUUUUUAAUGACUCA